UUUGAUCCCUUGCUAUCCCUUGAUCCCUUAUAAAACAUUUAUUACUCUCCUUUGGCUUCUUGUCUAUUGCAGACAACUUUUAAAAAGCCUUCAUUCCAGGGGUAGGAUUCUACCAGUUCAGACAGGUUCGGGCGAACCGGUAGCUCUGACGAUCAGCUGGGAGUGAACCGAUUCGCUCCGACGAUCAGCUGGGCUUGCCCCUGCACUUUACUUACCUUUAUUUCCUUUGUUUGAAGCCCAGCUGAUCGGCAUGGCAGAGCGGAUUGCCUCGCCUCAGCUGUUUUACUCACUGGGGCUGCAGUAGAAGAGUCUCUGAGAUUUCGAAGCAUCCGUUUGUACUUCAAAAAGGCUUCCCUCUUACGAGCCUCAUUAUCCAGCUUGCAGCACUGACGACACCGGCCGAUGGUGCAAGAACUAACAGAUAUGGCAAAGCUAGUAGAAGCCUGGCCCAGAGGUUUCUAACAUCAUUGCUUUCAGUGGAUGAAACUGAACUAAAAGAGAAGAUGAGCUGAAGGGUUUUCAGAAGAGGAAUUGAUCUGGAUGUGAAAUGUGAAAUGUUGUGAAGAUAACAUUGAACUGCACUGAUAAAAUCUGUAAAAACUACCCUUAUACAAGAAUUUGUGGUUAUAUUUGAGCACACACUAGGCUUCUGGAUUGCAAUGACUGAGACAAGCGUGUUAUUAUCAGUUAGAUAGCUAAUCCUUAGUAUGUAAUACUUCACAUCUUCAAAAUUCAUCUUCAUUAACCAUAAUUGCAAUUUCAAUUAGAAGUAACAAAAAUAAAUUGUAGAAGUAUUACCAACCAAGUUGUAAUGAUCUACAUUAACUGCUAUCUCACUGUCAACCUUACAAAUUAGUUGCUCUAUGGAUUCAUUUACCCACCUUUCUUAAAUUAUGAAGUGUACCUCAUCUCUCAAACAAUUACUGUGAUGUAGCACAACAUAGUAAACCUAGUGAUUAAGAACAUACUUGAAAACUUUGGUAUCUGUAGCUAAGUUUAAAAAAUAUAUUCUUUAUAUCAAACACUUUGAAAGGAAUGUAAUUAUCCAUACAAGCCAUAAUAGUUUUGUUAUACAGGUACUGAAAGUAUUUAAAUAGUCUAUCUCUUUGCAUAUCAAAUAGUCUAAUUGCCAUACUGAUGCCCCAUCAACUUUCUACUUCAGGUUUUACAGGUAGUCCUAGACUUACAGCCAUUCAUUUAGCAGCUGUUCAAAGUUACAAUGGCACUGAAACAAAAAAAAAUGACUUACUACUGAUCUUCACACUUGUAACUGUUACAGCUUUCCGGUGGUCACAUGAUCAAAAUUUGGACACUUAACCACUGACAUAUAUUUACAAUGAUUGCAGAAACCCAGGUCAUGUGAUUGCCAUUUGUGACCUUCCCAGCUGGCUUCCAAUAAGCAAAGUCAAUGGGGGAAGCCAGAUUUGCUUAACAAUUGCAUGAUUCAUUUAACAGCUAGAGUGAUUUGCUUAACUACCAUGGGGAAAAAAGUCAUAAAAUUGGGCAAAACUCACUUAACAACCACCUUGCUUAGUAACAUAAAUUCUGGUUCCAAAUUGUGAUCAUCAGUCGAGGACUACUGUACUUCUAUGAUAGCAUCCAUAGCCAAUUCAUGAAUAAAAUCAAAAUGGACGUAUUUCUCCAUGUGUAAACUUCUUUAGUGUAGUGACAUUUCCCCCACUCCCCCAUCACUCUGCUCAACACCUAAUUCCCACAACACUGUUUUAGGCUUAAAUAUAUUUACCCUUGUAGUAGGUUGUACAGAAGACAACAGUAUUGCUAUUAUCCUUCUUAUCUUCUCAUCUUUCCUACUAUCUUCUUCUAUUGGUAUCUUAUGAUUUAUCAUUUUUUGUUUGUAUCUUAUGAUUAAUUAUUGUAACUAUGAUUUAUGAUCUAUGACCUAUCACUUUGUUAUAUGGAUGUACACUGAGAGUUUAUGCACCAGAGACAAAUUCCUUGUGUGUCACACUUAACCAAUAAAGAAUUCCAUUCCAUUCAUUCCAUUCUUCGGAAACUGCUUAAGAGAUAUGUGCUAGUAUAGGAUAUUGGUGUGUGUAUGUGUCAAUUAAAUAAGCAAUUGUCUUUAAAACCAUGAAGGAGGGAGAUACCUGUAUAGUUAAAAUGCUCUGUUCAAUUUUUCUCUACUGCAUUUUCCAAUGGCAGCAACUACCCAGCCCUCCAAGGCAUUUUGAAGAUACAACCAAUGGUAGUACAAUUGUCUUCACUGCUCUUGACUUUGGAAUGGACACAAAUGCCUCAAAUCAAUCAGUGCUCCCUUCAGGCAGCAAUACAAAUGCAAAAAUUCUAAUGAGUCUGUGCUCUGCUUCCAGAUGAAGGACACUAAUGCUGCGAUGAAUGGAUAGCCAUUCAAGGCUGGUUUUCCUCAUCAUGUUUGCAGGUUUCAGUGUCCAGUCCUUAGGAAGCUAAGGUGAAAGGUAGUGUCCUACUUGAACCCAGAAAAAAUAAGAUAAAAUUUCAAUGUAUGCUGCUUUCAUAAGCAAGGAAAAUCAGGCCACCUAUUUUUAAAGGUGUUCUGAUAUUGAGAAGAAACUGACUGAAGAGUUAAGGUUGCCACUGAAACCUACUAGCAAAUUCAGGCAGAGAUAAGGCAAAUCUACUAGCAAGUUUCAGAGCCUGAGAUGAAGCAAGUGUGGAAUCUGAAUGGAAAAGGGCUUGCCUCCAGGCUCAUUUCAAAUUGGAACUUUUGCUGCAAUUUGACCUAUGCUGCACCUAAAUGAGGAGGAGAUAAAUUUCAGUACCUGGGGAUAGCACUGUGGGAACAAAAUGAUCGUGUUCAGGCCAGAUCAGCACAAAUGUCAUAUGUGCAAGGGCUCUGGGUGUCAUAUUUACAAUGUUUCCUGAAGAAUCUACCUGUUUGCCAUAGUGCAAAUAAAACUACUCUCUAAAAACGAACACUGAGGAAAUUAUUUCAAAAUUCAUUUAGUUACAGGACAAAUAGUGAUUCCGUGUAGAGGGCUUUCUUCUUAAAGAAAGGAGGAAGAGCCAUUCCCAGGGCAAUAGUCUCACAGAAGGCUCCUAAACCUGGCCAAGAACGUAAUGUGAGUAAAUAUCUUAGACAAGCCCCACCCCAAUUUACAUAAACAUAGAGAGAGGGAGGGGAAAAGCACAUUCUGACAUAAGAUUUUGCUACUAUAGCUUUACAGUAAAAGUAGUACUGACCUACAUGCAUUGGUUUUCUAAUCUGAUCUACCUCAAAGUACUGACAUUCUGUAUAAAGGCAACCAUCAUCAGGAUCAAACUCAAUCCAAAAAUUAGAUGGGCUCCUAUUAUGAAGUUCAAACUUCCUGUUUUCCCAAGUAUUUAAAAAAAUGUUUCUACCCUUUCAUUAGCUGAUUUAUAAUUGCUUAUUAUGCUAUUAUUUUAUUGUGAAAUUUGUGUAUGUUAUUUAUUUAUUCACUUUAUUGUUCUUUACUAUAAUGACAUGUUAAAUGUGUUUAAUAACUACGCUGGGGUUAAGAUGAAUCUUUACUUUCAUUAGCCUUCUUAUAAGGCACUGCAAUAUUAUAAUCACAAGAACACAUCAGGGAGAGAACUUAAAGAAAUUGGGGAGGUGGGGAGUGUUUUGACUAACACAGAGAAUAAUGAGAUCGGACUUUGAUUUCACUGUUCACAAUUCUAAAGCAAAGACGGGAAAGUUGUGGCCCAGUAGUGGUUACUGAUUUACAACUCUCUUGCUAUUGUCUGUGCUGGUUGGGGAGUCUGAAAGCAAAAUUUGGAGCACUCUAA